UACAUUUCCGGGUCACAGGUCACAGUGUGCCGGGUCAGAUCCAACUGGGUUCAUAUGGACUUCCGUCUUCAGACAUCUUAGUCUGUUUAUAUGGCUGAUUCCGUUUCUCUGUUUGCCUAUGUUGACCCAUCCCUGCAUCUUGGUUACAAAGCCUACUCUAUUAUUGUGGAAGAUCCUUUUGAUGUGAUCCUGGAUUUGGUUUUGUAAUCCUACAAGAAACUCCCUUGAGAUGUAACUCUGUGGACGCCUCAGAUCAGCAGAACACUCAUGAGUUUAGAGGACUUCAGAGAAGCCUCAUUUUCUCAUCUCAGCUAGAACAUGCCAUAGCUGUUGAGUGAACUGUUCCCCGGACUCAUCGUCAGCCUUUUCCAGCCUAGAAGCCUCAUUUUCUCAUCUCAGCUAGAACAUGCCAUAGCUGUUGAGUGAACUGUUCUCCGGACUCAUCGUCAGCCUUUUCCAGCCUUCCCUACCUCACAGCCAACGGUUAUCUUUUCCUCCUAUCUCCUUGUGACUUAAUUUCUGCAGGUUUCAAGGCUCAGGCAAGACAAAGAACACUAGUGCUCGACCAGGUGACAGUGGUUAGCAGCCUUUGAUACUAGAAAAUCUCCCCUCUCCCCCUGAAUUUACCAGAAUAAAAAAAUUUUAGCGCUAGAUAGGACCAAAUGGAUUGUAUACCUCAAAGAUUACGCAGGGUAAUGGUUUUCUGUAUCUGCUUGUCUUUGCUUUUUCU
rnacentral:sRNA from 1 species